UGCGCAGGCGGAGCUAUCAGUCAGUGGUGAAAUCUCUCGGCUCAACCGGGAAACUGCCAUUGAUACUGUAGGUCUUGAGUUUGGUUGAAGUGGGCGGAAUGUAGCAUGUAGCGGUGAAAUGCAUAGAUAUGCUACAGAACACCGAUCGCGAAGGCAGCUCACUAAACCAAAACUGACGCUCAGGCACGAAAGCAUGGGUAGCGAACAGGAUUAGAUACCCUGGUAGUCC
rnacentral:rRNA from 1 species